GUGCCAGCAGCCGCGGUAAUACGGAGGGUGCAAGCGUUAAUCGGAAUUACUGGGCGUAAAGCGCACGCAGGCGGUCUGUCAAGUCGGAUGUGAAAUCCCCGGGCUUAACCUGGGAACUGCAUUCGAAACUGGCAGGCUAGAGUCUUGUAGAGGGGGGUAGAAUUCCAGGUGUAGCGGUGAAAUGCGUAGAGAUCUGGAGGAAUAUCGGUGGCGAAGGCGGCCCCCUGGACCAAGACUGACGCUCACGUGCGAAAGCGUGACGAGCAAACAGGAUUACAUACCCUGGGAGGCC
rnacentral:rRNA from 1 species